UGCAUCAGCCGGGAAUCGAACCCGGGCAGCCCCCGUGGCAGGCGAGCAUUCUACCACUGAACCGCCGAUGG
rnacentral:tRNA from 1 species